UUUCAAAAUUGUUAGUUUAAUCAUAGCUGUUGUUCGGUUACACAAUGCAAAUUCAACCGAGGAAGUUAUAAUAAAAGUUAUGACAAACUGGAUAGUUCAAGCUCCUGCACGUGUUCGAAGAAUAGCAAACAAACAAAAAAACCAAAAUAAUCAGGAUGAUCCUGAUCAUCUUGAUCAAGUUCAAGUUCCACAUGUUCAAGAAGAAAAUAUUAAUAUGUAAGAAAAUCUACGUA